rnacentral:sRNA from 1 species
UGUACACUACAAGCAGUUGACACCAUCAGCUCUCUCUAGGAGGUCCCACUUCAUGCCUACCUGUGCCCUCCCUACCUUUAUGAAGACAUCUGGGAGAAUCUUCACAUCUAUUGCCAUCAGGGAAGGCAUACCGGAGCUGGGAGUCUGUGUGACUUUUCUUAAAUUAAGUGAGUGUGAAAAGAAGAGGGUUAAGGUCCAGUUUGAAUCAAACACUUCCUAUGUGAGAGUCCUGUGGAUUUCAUGAUGGUGAGUGUGAGGCACAGCUUAAACAGAGAUGUAAAAGGCUGCAGGGAAAAGGGAAAAAUCGAGAACAAAAUGGAUUUCAAGGAGAUGCUGCUGGGUGCAGCUGUUACUGCAUUUUAAAGAGUCACUUACUUUAAUUGAGGGGGCAAUAGAAUAAUAAUACUGUGCAAUAAUGAUGUGCCUUUGUAUGAGACACUUGGAAACCUCCCCAUGCAUGAUGCAAUGUG